GUACACACGUCCCUCCAUAUGGCUCGCCUAAAGCUGAAGAAGCUGGAGGAGUAUCUGCAGUGUGUCGAUGGCUUUGAACAGCCAAAGAUUCUGCUGGAACAGUAUCCAACACCACCCCACAUAGCUGCUUGCAUGGCGCACCACAUGCAAGCCCAGCACGACGACAUUGAGGGGAAGUUUGUGGCUGAUCUGGGAUGUGGUUGCGGUAUGCUCAGCAUUGCCGCCACAUUACUGGGAGCGCAGCUUACUGUUGGCUUCGAGCUCGAUGACGCUGCCGUUGACAUUUACCGCCAGAAUGUGCUGGACAUGGAGCUGCCAAAUGCAGAUUGUGUGCGUGCGAAUGUGCUGCAAUUGCCGGGCAGUAAGUGGGAUAAUGCCUUCGACACGGUGGUUAUGAAUCCGCCCUUUGGCACCAAACAUAAUGCUGGCAUGGAUAUGCGGUUUUUGAAUGUGGGCAUGCGUCUGGCCACAGGAGCUGUCUACUCGCUGCACAAAACCUCCACACGGUGAGUGAGCAGCUGCAAUAGUCUUAAAAAUAAUAUGCUCUGACUAAGUACCUGGAAUGGGAGAGAGGAAUGUGAACGUUAUGCUAUCGACUAUAGGCUGUAAAUUUAAAAUUUGUACUUUAUUUAUUGAUGUUAAUGGUGCUAUCAGAACAGAAUUCAAGUCGGAACGGUAUAUCAAUAACUAAUUACAGUUAAUAUGCGCGGGCAGCUAAAUUAGACGGAACAUUGAGGAAAUUCUCAGUUAUUUCUACAGAUAAUAUAAGCUCUUCUAUAUUAUGUAGUUUUAUAUGUCAUCUACAAAAUAAAUAAGAACCCUUUUUCUCAACUCUGUUAUAAGAAGCAAAACUGUGUUAUCGAUCUGUAAGCAAGAUUGUUGCGGAGAUUAGGAGAUUAUUUAGAAAUCUUUCAACUCAGGAAUGAGGAGCACAAGUUUGUGAAGGUAUUGAGAAAAUACUUACAUCCAAAA